CAGUCGCCGCGGUAAAACGUAGGGUGCAAGCGUUAAUCGGAAUUACUGGGCGUAAAGCGUGCGCAGGCGGUUAUAUAAGUCUGAUGUGAAAUCCCCGGGCUUAACCUGGGAACUGCAUUUGUGACUGGCGGGCUAGAGUAUGGCAGAGGGGGUAGAAUUCCACGUGUAGCAGUGAAAUGCGUAGAGAUGUGGAGGAAUACCGAUGGCGAAGGCAGCCCCCUGGGCCAAUACUGACGCUCAUGCACGAAAGCGUGGGGAGCAAACAGGAUUAGAUACCCCUGUAGUCCCUGUCUCUUAUACC
rnacentral:rRNA from 1 species